rnacentral:guide_RNA from 1 species
AAAACAACAGAUAUGAAUUCAAGUGAGUGAUACAGUAU